rnacentral:lncRNA from 1 species
AUGGCGGGGCGGCUCCGCCUGAGGAGAGGCGGGCGUGAGGCGAGGCGAGCCCGCCCCGCUGCGCUGCCGGCGGCUGGGGACGUCUCACCUCAUCUGUCACCAGUUCUGCUCGCCUGCCCAGCUGUCAAAACAGGGGGUGUCUUUUUCAUUCCAGCUCACAAACCUGCCCGUCCCGCUGGAGAGCCAGCAGAUGAGCAUGCCCUAAUCCUCCCCAGUCGGCUGAUCUCAGUGGGUUUUGCGGGACAAGCCGGGCGAGAAGGCUCCGUGGCUUUCAUCUCGAUGAGCAAUUUCAGCUUAUGGAAAACAUCCACGUGGAGACAACAUGGAACCAGAAAUUCUCUGAAGUCAUUAUCAUCGGAAAAGGUCUUAAACCAGAAUAAUACAUUCAGAUAAGCCUCCUCUCUUUCUCAGAAAGAUAUUCUCUUUGGAUUCAUAAAGCUGUUAUUUUCUUUUUAUUGCCUCUCCCAUAGUUUUGUUGAUGGUUUGGUUUUGCAUCAUCUGAUGGAGUUUUAAGCAAACUAAUGGAAAAGGGCAAGAUAACAAAGACAAUUUUUUCUAGGAAGAAAAUUUUAUGUACCUUUCCCAAUAUUCUAUUGCUUUAAGUUAAACUUAAACUUAAAUAUUAUAUGUGAUGCUCUUGAAGUUCUUCCAGACAAAACUAGAGAAGAUCCUGAGGAUUGCUCGUAAAUGCUUUUUCUGCAUUGUGUCAGAAGUGGCUGAAGCAAUUUAGUUACAGUGUACAAGCGCCAGAACCUUUAUGGUGUUGGAAAGUUGCUUUUCAUGAGCUGGGUGGCCAAAAAUGUGCUAAGGUUGGCCCCACUUCACUUAGAGAUGACUCCAGAUUAAGAACAUAGGAGAACCAUAAUUUGUUUGAAAUGCUUGCGUAGACUCCUGUUGGAUCUUCAGACAUCACUUCUGACAUCCUGAGAUCUGAAAUGCUUAGUUGCAGACAAAACCUGCUCACAAUAAGCUAAUGAAAAACUUGUUGAAUGGGAAGAGGAUUGCUACAUAGCUCCAAAGAUAAGUGUAGGGAAAACUGAAGGGAAAACUUCUUCACCAAGCAGUUGAUCAUAGAUGUAGUUAAUCACACAGGCAUAUUUUCUUUUCUUAUCUGCUGGUAUAUGUGUGUGUUAUCAGCCGUGAAAUUGGUUACAGCACUGGAAACAACCACUUUCAGAACAGGCUUUGUAUCCUUGCUCUCUCCACAGGAAUUUUGAAAAUAUUUUUUACCUGACCGCUGGCAGGAUAUUUGUAAUACUUUGCCAGCACAUCAAUAACAAUACAUAUAAAAAGAAUUUCAGAAUCUUACACCAAAUUUUGCCCUUCACUACACUAAUAUUAAUACAGAGAAAAGCUACUGCAUUUCUACUUGUGUAACUAAAAGCAGAGUUUUGCCUUAAGCAACAUGAGUGCAAAUGGCAAGGUAUUAAAAACACAGAUGUAGAGAGGGAGGUCCAUGUGUGGAAAUGGUUUAUAUUAAGAGGCAGUUGCUGAAGCAUAUGAGAGUUUUAGCCAUGCAAGGACCAUUUGGCCCAAUAUUUUUCUUUGUGAGUAGUAGUUUUAAAGAAAUCUAUCAUAAAGAUAAUUUGUUCUACUUACCUAUAAGCGCCUCAGAUCACUCCCCCUCUCCUUGCACCCUGGACCAGACCUGAAAUCCUGGUUGUCCAUAUACACAGUUGGGGUUAACAGUGCAGCCAUUAUUUUUUUCACAGCAUCAGGGAAUUAUUUCUGGUGAAUCAGAAUGUUGUCGCUUGUGACAAAUGGCUGCAUAGAAUGCAUAAACCUUUUAUUUUCCCUGCACACUAAAGGCCUGCACAAAAUGUCAAUGUUUCAUUGUAACACCUGCAGAAAUUUCUGAAAAUAAAGGUUUAGUAAAAUAUUAAUUCA